GAAGCGCCCUAUAUAGCUCUCUAUAGCUCUCUCUUACCGAUUCAGAGAACUCUUCUAAAAUAAUUGGACAAAAAAGAAGCCAUCAAGCCUGCACCUCCAUUAACCUUUCUAUAGAAGCCUUGAUUACUUUUUCACUGGGCUAUGUGGAGCCUCAUAUAAAAUUACUGUGACAGAUACCUCACAAAUCUCUAAACUCAGCUGAAAUUAUUGGCAAAGAGUGCAGCUAGGCCUCUAGCUUCAGGGAUGUGCAUAUAAAAAGAUAUGACCCAUGUCUAAAUUCUCCUGUUUUUUUAUUAUUUAUUUUAAUAAAAUCUAACCUCUCCGGUUAGAUUUAAUGCAUCAAUAGUCUAAAAGGUGGGACAAGAAGAGGAGAAAUUUGACUUGGGACCAAAAUAAAGUGAGAAGUCACGCCAUCCUCACCGAAAAGAAAGUGUGGUCCUACAACCUCAGUGCUCCACUUUUAUGGGUUCUUAUUCUCCUGUCAUUUCUAUAGUCAUCCACCAGAAGUGCUGUCCUAAAGUGAUAUCUAUAUGCCUCUGCCACCAGAAAUACUCGUGCCUUGAUGGUUGGAUUUUAGAAAGCAGAGGAGUUUGAACUCCAGGGUAGAUAUGCAUCCCUAAUGGUAGAGAUUUGAAGCAUUAAGAUAGAAUAAUCGGGUCCUGGGGAUACCUAUAGUGGCAUAACUUGAGAAGUGUAGCAGUGUUUUUGCAAGUCCACAUGAAUUUUCUUCAGUGAUAGAUUCAAGAGAAAUACUUCGGCUUAUUUAAAAGGAAAAGAUCCAAAGUUGUCAUCAAAUGGAAAGUGGCAUCGAUGCUUCAUCUGGUCCCAAAUAGCUUGGAUAAUGUAUUGCUGCUUACUCCAGCUCCUGAUGCUUUGCGACCGAUCAUCGAUACAGGAUCAAGACCAGCCAGAUUCUAUUAAGACCUGGAAGCAAAGAAAAUUGAAGACAAAGCAAAGGUAGGUAAGGGAUGUAGACUGGUGGGAUUUUGCCACCCAUUGCCU
rnacentral:lncRNA from 1 species